rnacentral:rRNA from 1 species
UUGGAGGGCAAGUCUGGUGCCAGCAGCCGCGGUAAUUCCAGCUCCAAUAGCGUAUAUUAAAGUUGUUGCAGUUAAAAAGCUCGUAGUUGAAUUUCGGGAUCAGAGUGUCGGUCGUGCCUCGGUACGCACUGGUAUUAUUGGUUCCUACCUUCUGAAGAACCGCGAUGUCAUUAAUUUGGUGCCGUGGGGAAUCAGGACUGUUACUUUGAAAAAAUUAGAGUGUUUAAAGCAGGCUUACGCUUGAAUACAUUAGCAUGGAAUAAUGAAAUAGGACGUUUGAUUCUAUUUUGUUGGUUUCUAGGAUUGACGUAAUGAUUAAUAGGGAUAGUUGGGGGCAUUAGUAUUCAAUUGUCAGAGGUGAAAUUCUUAGAUUUAUUGAAGACUAACUACUGCGAAAGCAUUUGCCAAGGAUGUUUUCAUUAAUCAAGAACGAAAGUUAGGGGAUCGAAGACGAUCAGAUACCGUCGUAGUCUUAACCAUAAACUAUGCCGACUAGGGAUCGGAUGAUGUUAAUUUUUUAAUGACUCAUUCGGCGCCUUACGGGAAAC